rnacentral:tRNA from 1 species
GCGCCCGUAGCUCAGCUUGGAUAGAGCGACGCACUCCUAAUGCGUAGGUCAGGUGUUCAAAUCAUCUCGGGCGCG